GAGGGAUGAAGCACAGAGGAUUUUCAGGGCAGUGAGACUGCAUGAUACUAUAAUGGUGGGUACAUGUCAUUAUAUAGUCCCCAAACCCAUAGAACAUACAACAUCAAGAGCGAACCCCGAUGUGCUGUAGACUAUGGAUUGGGUGACAGGGAUGUGUCAGUGUAGGCUCAUCAGUUGUAACCAAUGUGCCACUCUAGUGUGGAACGUCAACAGUGGGGGAGGCUGUGUGUGUCGGGGGGCAGGGGCAGAGGCUGUAUGGGAAAUCUCUGCACCUUCCGCUCAAUUUUGCUGUGAACCUAAAGCUGUUCUAAAAUAUAAAGUCUAUUUUACAAAAAGGAGACAGCCUGCAUCAGUGGAUUUAAAAAACAAACGGAAACACUACUUGUGCCUGCUGGUUCACAGCGAAGGCAUGCUUAACUCUCAGAAUACUCACGCAUCAUAAUGGGCUUUGUAAUUCUUCCCUGAAUAAAACCCUCCAGCCUUAACUCCCUCAAUUUUUUAGUGCCUAUAGUUCCUGCCCAAGCUCUAGAGGGCUAAAAGAUUCCCAUAUUCCUUUAUAUAAAAGUCCUUCUGAUUAUAAAGGCUCAGGAGUACUUACUAAACCCCUGUGUACCAGGCCACAAUAAUAAUGCCACUGGUUCUGACCGCAGCACUGUGCAAAGGCUGGGGCAGUGGGCUCGGAGGAGCAAUGUUUUCUCAUCAAAAAGAACAGACUCUUUUCCGCCUGUGUCUAACAUUCAGAAGUUUACUACUCCUCAAAGAGGAGGCCAGAUUACCAUGCUACCCCUUUCACUGUCUACCCCAGAUCCCAUUUGGAACCACAACCCUUCAUCGCUCUCUCCUCUGAUUUACCCACUCUGUCCUCACCAUAGCAAAGAUGUCCUUGGCUUCCAGGGCUCUUCGAUGGAGGAUGUCCCGGCGCAAGACUAUCAACAGGAAGAGGAAGCCCAGAAGCACGUGGCCCAGGUUACUGAGAAUGUUGUUGAAGGCACUACAGGGAUGAGUGAGAAGCCAUGAGAGAGGCAAGGCAAUCCCAGGGAUUCAGAGAAUGAAUGAAUGCAUGAAGGAGCGAGUAAACUCAGCAUUCAGCAUUUUCUACCACUAAAUAUUUCCCUAAGGUUUCAGGAUCAGAAAAUCAUUAGAAAUCCUCUUUAACCUAACUCCUUCAUUUUAUGAUGCUUACUUAGCCUGUGACAAUUUAUCUGUUUCCUCUCAGGGAUGCCCGUUCAGCUUCCUACCACCCGCCCAAUCCUCUCUUGUCCCAGUGGCACUGGCACGGCAUGAUCUUGGGAAAGAGAGCCGCUCCGAAGGUAGGCAAGUGUUUCAGCCACACGGGGAGAGUGAAUUCUCAUAGGUGGACCCAUGUUAAGUGUCAAUAUUCAGCUCUCUAAUUGCGAAUUUCAGUAUAAGUGUCAGCCGAUCACAGCUAGCAGCUUUAUUACAGGAAACUGAGGCUGGUUCAUCCGUGGAGCAACAAGCCAGGCUCCCACCCAGGCGCAUGCUCUUUCCACUUUGCCAAGUUCUGGUGGCGAGGGCAUGGCCUUGGAGGGGUCCAGGCCUGACAGCACUAGCAGCUGAGGGACCUUCAGCAAAUCCUUACCUGUCUUCAUCUAAAACUAGGGGUAGGCCCGGCGCCGUGGUUCACGCCUGUAAACCCAGCACGCUGGGAGGCCGAGGCGGGUGGAUCAUUUGAGCUCAGGAG